GAGACCAGCUCUUCAGCGCCCACUCAAAGGUAUCCAGCUCCUCCUGGAUGACAUUGUUGCUGUUGAUGGUAUCUUUCAAGAAUGAGGAGGAAAUAUUGGCAUUUCGGCAAUUUGAAUGCUGCUGUGAAAACUCAUUGAUAAUACGCUUAUACCACAAAAACUGCCAAAGGAAUUUCUCCAUAUAGAAGAAUUUGGUGGGAAGACCCUUUUGCUGAAGACACUGCAUACGUACAUCACAGAAUACUGGGAAAUCAAGCUGUUGCUGGCAUGAAACCUCC